rnacentral:tRNA from 13 species
GGUUCCAUGGCCAAGUUGGUAAGGCAACAGACUGCAACUCUGUUAUCAUCGGUUCGAGUCCGGUUGGAACCUCCA